rnacentral:rRNA from 1 species
AAUGAACGUUGGCGGCGUGGAUUAGGCAUGCAAGUCGAGCGAGAAGUCCUUCGGGACGGACAGCGGCGAAAGGGAGAGGAAUACGUAGAAAUCUACCCCUGGGACCGGGAUAGCGUCGGGAAACUGGCAGUAAUACCGGAUAACGUCCAAGGACCAAAGGUGUGAUUCCACCUGGGGAUGAGUCUACGCCCUAUUAGCUAGUUGGUAGGGUAAUGGCCUACCAAGGCGAUGGUGGGUAGCGGGUGUGAGAGCAUGAUCCGCCUCACUGGGCCUGAGAACUGCCCAGACACCUACGGGUGGCUGCAGUCGAGAAUGUUUGUCAAUGGACGAAAGUCUGAACAAGCGACGCCGCGUGCGGGAUGAAGGCCUUCGGGUUGUAAACCGCUGUCGUAGGGGAACAAAUGUACGGGGGUUCUCCCCUGUAUUUGAGUGAUCCUAGGAGGAAGGAGAGGCUAAGCUCGUGCCGGCAGCCGCCGCAGUAA